rnacentral:lncRNA from 1 species
CACCCCCACAGCAACACACAACUGUCACACACACACUGUACAUAUACACAAGCACACCCCCACACAACACACAACUGCCACACACACACACACUGUACAUAUACACAAGCACACUCCCACAGCAACAUGUACUUACAAACACAAAGAAAUGGAGGCUUGGAGGGCCUCGACUGAGGAAAGGAGCGUGAAAGGGAAAUGUAUUGAAGAAGUGGGUGGAGCAGUGGUUCUUACCAUUCAGGGAACCUUGGCAUUAUGGGUAACUCACUAGAACACCCAUACUGUCCCCUGUGUGCUCACCCUCAGGGUGAGGUGCUGGGAUUGCCAUUCUUAACAGUUUCUUUGGGUGGCUGUUGGGAUUGGGGACCUUUGGAGUUUUACUAUUUCUGUUUUGACCCCAUAUCUGUAAUUUGGUAGUCGGGGAUCACAAUUUUACAAAACAUUUGUACUCUAGGCUCAAUCACACACAAAACAGAGAUAAUGGUAAUUUAAUGGGUGUAAGGCUGAGCUGAUGUUCACAAACAUAUCUAGUGUAACAUUAAUUUAUCUAAGCACUCAGUUUCCUUCUUUUUUAUUUUUUCUUGGCAAGAACAAGCAUUCUUUAUUGCCUCCAUGGUCCCUUGUUAAAUUUACAUAACUUAGGUAAAACUGUUAUUUCAUUUUUUGUAUUAGAUAUUUUCUUUAUUUACAUUUC